rnacentral:rRNA from 1 species
GUGUCAGCCGCCGCGGUAAUACGUAGGUGGCAAGCGUUGUCCGGAAUUAUUGGGCGUAAAGAGCAUGUAGGCGGCAUUUUAAGUCUUUCGUGAAAAUGCGGGGCUUAACCCCGUAUGGCGGGAGAAACUGGAGUGCUUGAGUGCAGGAGAGGAAAGGGGAAUUCCCAGUGUAGCGGUGAAAUGCGUAGAUAUUGGGAGGAACACCAGUGGCGAAGGCGCCUUUCUGGACUGUGUCUGACGCUGAGAUGCGAAAGCCAGGGUAGCAAACGGGAUUAGAUACCCCGGUAGUCCUGGCCGUAAACGAUGGGUACUAGGUGUGGGAGGUAUCGACCCCUUCCGUGCCGGAGUCAACGCAAUAAGUACCCCGCCUGGGGAGUACGGCCGCAAGGUUGAAACUCAAAGAAAUUGGCGG